rnacentral:lncRNA from 1 species
AUUUAUACAAAAUAUAGUAUAUUGUUUUGUAGUAUUAAAUUAUAAGUAGAAAAUAUUUAUAAAAUUAGAUUGCUAUGAAUAUGAAGAGACAUACCAGUUUUUUUUAUGAAAAAGGAAGGUGCAGACACAGUUUGAAAACCACUGCUUUAACUGGAUCGACACUAACUGAAAGCAAAAUUCCCAUUGAUUUGGUGUUAAGUCAAGAUCAUAUUCCCCUUUCUCAUCUAAACAUUAUUAUAUUGUUCACAAAUGGAAUAAAACGAAACCAAAGCAUGAUUUAAUUAUAAACUUUAGUUGUUAAACAAUAAUCAGAUAACAGCCAAAUAAUGAUAGCAUUACA